rnacentral:rRNA from 1 species
GUGAACCUGCCGUUGGAUCAGUU